rnacentral:rRNA from 1 species
UACGUAGGGGGCAAGCGUUGUCCGGAUUUAUUGGGCGUAAAGAGCGUGUAGGCGGCCAGACAGGUCCGUUGUGAAAACUGGAGGCUUAACCUCCAGACGUCGACGGAAACCGCGUGGCUAGAGUCCGGAAGAGGAGAGUGGAAUUCCUGGUGUAGCGGUGAAAUGCGUAGAUAUCUGGAGGAACACCGGUGGCGAAGGCGGCAUCCUGGACCGGCAUUGACGCUGAGGCGCGAAAGCUAGGGGAGCAAACGGGG